rnacentral:rRNA from 1 species
GGGUUGUGAGGUUAAGCGACUAAGCGUACACGGUGGAUGCCCUGGCAGUCAGAGGCGAUGAAGGACGUGCUAAUCUGCGAUAAGCGCCGGUAAGGUGAUAUGAACCGUUAUAACCGGCGAUUUCCGAAUGGGGAAACCCAGUGUGACUCGUCACACUAUCAUUAACUGAAUCCAUAGGUUAAUGAGGCGAACCGGGGGAACUGAAACAUCUAAGUACCCCGAGGAAAAGAAAUCAACCGAGAUUCCCCCAGUAGCGGCGAGCGAACGGGGAGGAGCCCAGAGCCUGAAUCAGCAUGUGUGUUAGUGGAAGCGUCUGGAAAGGCGCGCGAUACAGGGUGACAGCCCCGUACACAAAAGCGCAUGUGCUGUGAGCUCGAUGAGUAGGGCGGGACACGUGGUAUCCUGUCUGAAUAUGGGGGGACCAUCCUCCAAGGCUAAAUACUCCUGACUGACCGAUAGUGAACCAGUACCGUGAGGGAAAGGCGAAAAGAACCCCGGCGAGGGGAGUGAAAAAGAACCUGAAACCGUGUACGUACAAGCAGUGGGAGCCCCACCACUAAGCCAGUGGUGAACUCCACAUACGCAUCCUUUGCUGAGGAUACGGUUAACGGAGCGAAAGCGACGUUCAACCGCAAAAGAAGCAGAGGGGGCUUAGUGGUGGGGUGACUGCGUACCUUUUGUAUAAUGGGUCAGCGACUUAUAUUCUGUAGCAAGGUUAACCGAAUAGGGGAGCCGGAGGGAAACCGAGUCUUAACCGGGCGUUAAGUUGCAGGGUAUAGACCCGAAACC